ensembl:lncRNA
CAGGGUCAGGUGCACCACGCGGGCGGGGCGCAGCGAGGCCGGUGCUGGAGGCAGCUGAUUGGCCUGCUUGACGCUCGGAUGCCUUGAUCUGGUCUGACAAGUGGAGGCUGCUUUGAGAAGCGGCCUGGAUUUUUGGCAUUCAGCGAGCUAGAAAUAACUGGCUGGGCCCUUGGCGCUGCGGUCACAAAUACCUUGCCCUUCGGAGAUGGCAGCCCAAUUGUAGGGGCUUUUCUGCAAUGCAGAUCUGUUCUCUGAAGGUUGAAGGCCAGACAUGGCCUGGUCUUCAGUGUGUCUUAAAGGACCAAAGGACCACAGCCCCCAAGGCAGCCAUGUCUAUCCAAGCAGUUAUGCUUCAUCACGUUUUUGUUCUCCUUGGAAACCACCAGAACUCUACCCACUAGAGCAAAAUGAAUCUGGUACAGAGUGCAGAUUUGAUCACUAAGUCUCCAACACUAACUUGUGACCUUAAGAAAGGAAGCCUCAAGCUAAAGACGGCAGGACAGAAGGAGCUUGCGACCCUGAUGACCAUGACUUACUGUCCCAGCCUCAGACUGGCUCCUUCCAGACUUGUUUGUUUAAAAGAAGGCAAAACAAACUUUUAUCUUAUUUAGGCCUGUGUUAUUUUUGGUAAUUGUUACUAGUAUCUGACCCAGUCCCGAACUGGCAUGUGGCUCUGAGGCUAUUAGGAGGUGGUGCUGAAAUCUAAACUCAAGCAGCCUGACUCUCCAACCCACAUCCUGAUCCACUGUUGGGGCAAGCCAUUGCAUCCAGGGC